rnacentral:rRNA from 1 species
UGGGGAAUAUUGCACAAUGGGCGCAAGCCUGAUGCAGCAACGCCGCGUGAACGAUGAAGGUCUUCGGAUCGUAAAGUUCUGUUGCAGGGGAAGAUAAUGACGGUACCCUGUGAGGAAGCCCCGGCUAACUACGUGCCAGCAGCCGCGGUAAUACGUAGGGGGCUAGCGUUAUCCGGAUUUACUGGGCGUAAAGGGUGCGUAGGUGGUCUUUCAAGUCGGUGGUUAAAGGCUACGGCUCAACCGUAGUUAGCCUCCGAAACUGGAAGACUUGAGUGCAGGAGAGGAAAGUGGAAUUCCCAGUGUAGCGGUGAAAUGCGUAGAUAUUGGGAGGAACACCAGUAGCGAAGGCGGCUCACUGGACCAUUACUGACGCUGAGGUGCGAAAGCGUGGGGAGCAAACAGG